rnacentral:rRNA from 1 species
AGAGCGAACGCUGGCGGCAGGCCUAAUACAUGCAAGUCGAACGGAUCCUUCGGGAUUAGUGGCGGACGGGUGAGUAACACGUGGGAACGUACCCUUUGGUUCGGAACAACUCAGGGAAACUUGAGCUAAUACCGAAUGUGCCCUUCGGGGAAAAGAUUUAUCGCCAUUGGAGCGGCCCGCGUCUGAUUAGCUAGUUGGUAGGGUAAAGGCCUACCAAGGCUACGAUCAGUAGCUGGUCUGAGAGGAUGAUCAGCCACACUGGGACUGAGACACGGCCCAGACUCCUACGGGAGGCAGCAGUAGGGAAUCUUGCGCAAUGGGCGAAAGCCUGACGCAGCCAUGCCGCGUGAAUGAUGAAGGUCUUAGGAUUGUAAAAUUCUUUCAGCGGGGACGAUAAUGACGGUACCCGCAGAAGAAGCCCCGGCUAACGUUCGUGCCAGCAGCCGC